GUUCCAAGCUGCAGUGAGCCAAGGUCACACCAUUGCACUCUAGCCUGGGUGACAGAGCAAGACCCUGUCUCUAAAAAAAAAAAAAAAGAGAGAGAGAGAGAAUACAGGAUAACAUCAUGAAAACUUCCUAAAAUACUGAGGAGUUGUCCAAGGAAUGUUAGGUCUAUAAGCAGUAGCAGAGUAGAAUUGCAGCCAACAGAGUAACUGAGGGUGAGUGGUAAAUCUAAAGCUGGCUGUAAGGAGGCAGCAGGGAAUAAAAUGCCAAAAGCAGCAGAUCCUCUAUUUGUAUCUCUAUUCGUAUCUCAGCUGAGGAGGGCGACCAGAUGCAUGAAAACAACUGACCAAGAGCCUGGAAAGAGAACAUUAGGUUGUUUCUUCCUCCCCACAUGCAAGGGAAAUGGUCAUAGUCUUAGAAAUAGAUUGGAAUAGAUAUUCUCUGCUCACCAUCUACCACCCCAUAAUACCGGCACUGAGCAUCUGUUUUGGUGAUUUGCUAAGGGUCAAUUAAGCUUUAGAAGCUCUUAGCAUAAAAAUAUGAUGAGUCCUCCACGUUAGUGAUCAGAAUAAGACCUAAAGAGUGAAGCACAACUUGCAGGAAUGCUGAAAUCAAAAUUGCUUUUUUCUAGAUGUUUUGAUUGCUAAAACCUGUGUGAUUUCACGAAGCUUAACUUUGCUCAUUGGCAUGGGGUUGGUGGCUCAGCUUUGCUAGUGUCUGUGCCCAAGCUGAGUCGGCCUGCUGGUUUAUCUACCGUGGACGUGUCCAGAUCCAGAAGCUGGAAAUGGCAGAUGGAGAGGGGACAGCACUCAUAAGGCUUGCACAGGUUCACUGUGGAAAGACUUUCUGAAUCCAUUUCCCUCCGAAGGGGCCACAGAUCCUAGGCCUCAGCACCCCUAGGCAGGCGGUAGCCCUCCUUCUCACCAGGGGCUGCUGCAUUGGAGCCGUGGAAGUGCCCUGGUGGUCACUUUGCAGUUUAACUUCCAGGCUGCACAGUAACACCACUGGAGGGAAAAUGUCUGUGUUUGAAGUAAUCAUAGGCUUUCUCCUCUAAUACCAGCCUGCCCUGCCAACGUGCCAGCAGCACAAAGGGCCCCACUAUUUAUCCUCCAUCACAGAGUAAGUGGCCUAUCCCCCCGCCGCUUGGCUCCAAGCUCCCUGUCUGGACAGGACACAGCUGGGCUUUCAUCUAAGGAGGGGAGAACUCCAGCUGAUUACUUUUGUUUGGCCUUCACUGAAGACAACAGAGCAGGAGGUACUUUUGCAUUUUGUCUUGUGGUGAAAGUCCCAAUGUGGGGUAACUCAAGAAGAUUUUCUCCUCAAGCAAAGGCUAACUCGUGGGGAAGAAUCACAAUUUUUUAAAAAUGACCAUUAAGAAGAUCAGCCAGAAUUUUAUGCAGAAAACAUGUAUUACUUGCAUCAUCAGAAAAAUAAAACUGCAUUAACUUAAAGAGGAAAAAAGAGGAAAUUAUCUGAAUAUUUUAAGCAAUUAUCUUAAGGAUAAAUUGGGUUUUCUCCUCACUCUCUCAAUGGCAGUCUCCUAUAACCUAAUGGCCCCAACUUUCACCUGUAAACUGGAGUUCCCAAAAUUUAUAUCCUCACACCCAUCUUUCAUAUAAGCCUCCAACUUACAUAUACCCAACUGACUACUUGGCAUCUCACUUUAUGUAUAUCACAACCUCUUCACAUUUAACACCUCAAAUACUGAAAUUCUUUCUUCUUUCAUGAUCUUCCCCCAAUUUUUACCUCCUUCUAGAUUCUUUCCUUCUAGAUUCUUGCUUUUACCUCCUUCUAGAUUCCUUCCAUACAAUCAAUUAUCAUUCCCAUUGUUCAAGUUACCCUAUGUCUCCUCUUUUCCUUCUUCCUUUAUCCUAUCAAUUUAUCUUAUUAUAACAGCUAACUUUUACUGAGCAUAAAUUCUGUGCCAGAUAUUAUUCUAAUUGCUUUAUACGUACUAUUACAUUUAAUCCUCACAACUCCAAUAAAUAAGUGCUAUUAUAACCCCCACUUUACAGAUAAAGAAACAGAAGUACAGAGAUGUUUUAUAAUUCUCUAUAUAAUGUCAUAAAAAUAGGCUAGUAGGAGAUCAAUGAUUUGGAUCCAGGCUGAUUUGCUCCAGAGCCUAGGCUCUUAACCUCAAUGCUAUACUGCUUUCUAAAAUUAUUGUGUAUUUAUAUAAAUUUAAAUGUGUGCAUUUUCAUCCCAUAGAUACUACCUAAAGUUCUGACCAUGAUGUAGGUAGAUAAUUCAUCCUUCAGAAUUAAGUUUCUAAUGCACAAAUGUUUUCUUGUCACCAUCCACUUAAUUUCAACGGAUCAUUUUCUGAAUUUGUCAUUUUCAGAGGCGUAUUGCUACAUUUGGGGCAAUGCGUACAUAUGUGGUUUCGUUAGCUCCAGCGGGGGCUAAUCCUCUGACAGAGCCACCUCUCACACGAAACACUGAAUGGAGGCGAUCCCGAGAUGGAUGGAGCAGCAGCAGCGCAGGUUGCUGCAGCUGUGCUGCCAGAGAUUGUAAUUCAGGAACCAAUCUCAAGCUGAGCAGAGGAAAAAAUGAGAUGCUUCAUGAAAAUGGCCAAAUGUCAUCACCAGCUAUUUUGUGAGAAGAGCUAUGUUAGGAGCCAUCCACAUGUAAAAUGGACUUUCACCAAAUUCCAUCCAUCUGCCGGUCAUGGAAGCUCACAACAUGUAUGUCUCCUGAGGGAGCCUUUUCGUUUUGUGCUUUUUCUGGCACUAAGAAAUACAGACACUUGUGAUUUACUACUGGGCACUUAUAGGAAUGGAGUCAACUAUUUCCUAAGAAACUCAAAGACUGAAAUGAGAAAUUCAGAAAAUAAAAAUAUUUUCUGUGUUAGAAAACUAUAUACCAGAAAGCCUGAAAAGUGAGGCAAAGGGCACGAAAUUCUGGUUAAUAAGAUGUUGUAGAUUAGUGAGAACUUGAAAAUGUUUUUGCUUCUAGUAUAUUUUUUGGAAUUUCUAAACUAUAUUAGCUCCCUUUCUUACCUUAGGAAUUACAGUAUUGUGAUCAUGUGAGAAGAUAGUUCUAAAUAUUAAUAAAUAUUUUUAACUUCAUCAAAUACGUCUUUGAAGAUUUCGUGUUUUGAUGUUUGAGGUCAUAGUACCAUAACAUAGAGCAGGGAUGCAGCAUUGAAGAAUUAAAGGGCGCCAAGUUAGAAAUCUAAGAAUCCAACUUUAUCAUUUAUCAAUUCCAUACCCUCGAGCCAGUCAUUUAACCUCCAAAGUUUCAGGUACUUUAGCUGUAAAAUAAAUGGAAAAGGAUAUCUCUACCAUGUUACACUCUGUAUUCCUACCCAGCUCAAAAACAGGAACUUACUAAUACUUCUCACCACACAGGCAAGUCUUUGGGACUGCUGUGAUUUGGUUAUUUGUUUGUCCUCACCCAAAGCUCAUGUUGAAAUUUGAUCCCCAAUUUGUGGUGGUGUGGUUGGGCCUAGUGGAAGAUAUUUGGGUCCUGGGGGCAGAUUCUUCAUGAAAGGCUUGGUGCUAUCCUCCAGGUAAUGAGUGUGCGUUCUCCUUCUGGCUAGACAGAAUUAGUCCUCAUGGGAAUGGGUUAUUUCCCUUGAGCAUGGGUUGUUAUAAAGAAAGAGAGGUCCCACUUCCUGUUUGGUCCCACUUCAUACAUGCCUGCUUCCCCUUUGACUUCCUAGGCCAUGUUUUGAUGCAGCACAAAAGCCCUCACCAGAAGCCAAGCAGAUGCUGGUGCCAUGCUUCUUGUACAACCUGCAGCACUAUGAGCCAAUUAAGCCUCUUUUCUUUAUGAACUGUCCAGCCUCAGGCAUCCCUUUACAGCACCCCAAAUGGGUUAAGACAG
rnacentral:lncRNA from 1 species